GGAGGAAAAGAAACUAACAAGGAUUCCCCUAGUAACUGCGAGUGAAGCGGGAAAAGCUCAAAUUUAAAAUCUGGUAGUCUUUGGCUGCCCGAGUUGUAAUCUAGAGAAGCAUUAUCCGCGUUGGACCGUGUACAAGUGUCCUGGAAUGGACCAUCAUAGAGGGUGAGAAUCCCGUCUUUGACACGGACUCCCAAGGCUUUGUGAUGUGCUCUCAAAGAGUCGAGUUGUUUGGGAAUGCAGCUCUAAAUGGGUGGUAAAUUCCAUCUAAAGCUAAAUAUUGGCGAGAGACCGAUAGCGAACAAGUACCGUGAGGGAAAGAUGAAAAGAACUUUGGAAAGAGAGUUAAACAGUACGUGAAAUUGCUGAAAGGGAAACGCUUGAAGUCAGUCGCGUUGGCUGGGGAUCAACCUUGCUUUUUUGCUUGGCUUACUUCCCAGUUGACGGGUCAGCAUCAGUUUUGACCGGUGGAUAAAGGUUAAGGGAAUGUGGCACCCUCGGGUGUGUUAUAGCCCUUGGUCAUAUACAUUGGUUGGGACUGA
rnacentral:rRNA from 1 species